rnacentral:rRNA from 1 species
GACGAACGCUGGCGGUGUGCUUAACACAUGCAAGUCGAACGGUAAGGCCCUUUCGGGGGUACACGAGUGGCGAACGGGUGAGUAACACGUGAGUAACCUGCCCUCAUCUCUGGGAUAACAGUCGGAAACGGUUGCUAAUACUGGAUAUGAGCUUGCAAGGCAUCUUGUGGGUUGGAAAGAUUUUUUUGGUUGGGGAUGGACUCGCGGCCUAUCAGCUUGUUGGUGAGGUAGUGGCUCACCAAGGCUUCGACGGGUAGCCGGCCUGAGAGGGCGACCGGCCACAGUGGGACUGAGAUACGGCCCAAACUCCUACGGGAGGCAGCAGUGGGGAAGAUUGCACAAUGGACGGAAGUCUGAUGCAGCAACGCCGCGUGCGGGAGGACGGCCUUCGGGUUGUAAACCGCUUUCAAUUGUGACGAAGCUUUUUGUGACGGUAGCAGUAGAAGAAGCACCGGCUAACUACGUG